CGAAGAAGCGAUGAUGAUAACCGUUUUAUACCAGCUCACUAUGAGAUCUCUGUGGUCUAGGAAUAUACCCCUUCCAAUAUAUCUGAGCUUCUUCG